rnacentral:lncRNA from 1 species
CUCUCUACUUGUAUAAUGACAUAUAAUAUAUGUAUAUGUGUUUCAAACAUACUGAAAAAUUUCUCGUUAAAGUGAAUUUAGAUUUUUUUUUAUGAUAAUGAUAUAUUUACACUAACAAGUGAGACAAUAAAAUGAGUCAAAUAGUGAAUUGUGUCUGUCUGAUGGAAUAUGAAAGUGACGUGCAAUAGGAGGGCGGGGAGAUGGAGGAAGAGAAGACGACAAAGACCAUGAAAAAGAAUGGGGUCAGUGAGUGAGGGAUGGAGGGAGGAAGAGAGAGUGUUUCGAAUAGGGAGUUGAAAAUGAAGUGGCUCUUAAUAGCAAAAAUUGAAGAAGAAAAGAAUCUAGAGUGAGAGACAAUCGUAAACCGUAGAGAGAGAAAUGAACUUCUAUUUGAAGAGUGCCUUUUUUAAAGUCGUAUUGGAUAUGUAUCAACAAUCAAUGAAAAAUAUAUAGAAAUAAAUUUAAAUAUGUUAAUAAACAAAUAAAUAGCAACGCUAUAUAUUGAAUAAAUAAGACUAAUAUUCAAACAAACGAAGUGAAGAUUAAUGCAUAGAAAUUCGUUUCUACUCUGUGUUUUGUAGUUCGAUGGACAUUUGCUUCACUAGGAUUCAACAAUCUAAGUUAAGAUUUCAGCACCAGAAAACUUGCCUUAUGACGAAUUUCCUUGUGGUUCUAUCAGUAAGAAGGUUUUGGAAUUUAGUAGAGAUGUGUCUUUUUCCUGAGUGAUGAAUGCAAUACAAAUCCAUCCAUGUAUAUAUAAUAUGCAUAUGCCUGUUCACAACAACUAUAAGAUUGAGAGGUGACUGUUCGUUCAAUAGGGAUGUACGACUUCAUCUUUUUCUCAGUGUUUUACAACAUUCUUAGACUUUAUCCGAAAAGAUGAGUCUUUUGAGAGUAAAAAGGUUAAUUAAAUUCGAAACAAAAUUUAAUAAAUUAAUUAUUGAAUUUCAUUAUUAGAGCAGAGCCCCAAGGCCCAUAUUUUGAUAAUUAAAUAAAUAUUAAAAGCAAAAGCCCAAACUCAAGACUCAAGCCCAAUUUUCUUCCUAAUAGUCUAUCUUUCAAAUCACUUGAUGGACUUGAUUUUAUAAGGUGUGUGAAACUUCUCAACUUGACCAAUGUGGGACAAAUGAGAUGAAAGGAAAUUUUCACUAAAAAACUCCAACAGUACCGCAGAUUUGAGUUAAAAUUCCAUUCAAACACUAACAAGUUGUUCUCACAGAACAUAGUGCAAUAUAUAUACCUAUGUCCUUCAUAUCAAACUUGUUGGAAAGAAAUGACUUUGCAAAACAUAAAACUCUUAUUAUUUUAAGGAUUAAGUAUCAAAAACCUCCAAAUUUUUUAUUAUUAUCUAAAUUGGUCUCAAACUUUUGAAACAUUCCAAACAAAUAUUCAACCUAUUGAAAAUGUCACAUCCGUUAAGCCCUGGUUAAAUUUUUGUUAGAUUAACUUGAGCUUACUUUGUCUCCAAAAUCAUUAGAAGGUCAUGGUAACAUAAUAGCUUCCAUCAACUAAUAGUCACCACCAAUCCCAUCAAGCCAUCACCUCCAAACGCAACACACUACCAUCAACUAUACACUACAACUCAAGCCGCUAACAUUGAAAAGAAAGUCAUGGAGAUUACUGAAAUGGCACGGACUGCCAUGAUGCUGCCACCACCAUCUUCACUACCCACAAAGAAGAACUGGAAACUUUAAGAGCCAAGAAUUGCCAAAUGAGGAACUUACAUGAACAUAAGCAAGCUGCUUGAAACCCUAUCUGAAUUCUUAACCCUCUUCUUUAUUAGGAGAUUACCCUCGUUGUAUAAUCUAUGUUUGAAAUUUAAAUUAAUUUUGAGGCAAUUAAUAUUAAUGUUGAGCAUGACAUACCCAGUUGGUGGAUUUUGAAUAUAAAAAUUGGGAUGGGGUUUCAGUGGUCGUAAAUUGAGUUUGGACAUGGCGGGGGCUUGAUAUUUCCCGAUUUCAUUUCAUUUUUGUUUUCUAUUUUAUAUGUGAAUUUGUGUAUUUAUUCUUAUUUUUUAUCUUCAUGUUUUUUUUUUUGAAGCUAAUUUAGUGUUCAACUAAGCUAAAAAGUGGGACCCAUUGUUGUCACAUGUAUAUUUAUGAAAAAAAUUAAUGGGAAAUUGCCAAAAAUGGCUUAUUUUCUUAAUCUUAGGACUAAAAUAGGACAAACCGGGCAUGUACAACAUGCACAAAGCCAUGCACACCAUCAAAAGGUGAAAUGACAAAAAUACCCACAUAUAAAAUGUACAAACUCACAGGUGAUGACGCCAUUUUUCUUAUUUUGAAGAGAUAACCAUGAGCUCUGGAUUUUUGGGUUGGCUCAAAUCUGUGAGAAUAUCAUGUUGAAUAUUUCUAUAUAUAUAUAUAUAUAUAUAUAUAUAUAUGUAUGUAUGUAUGUAUGCGUGCAUUUUGCAUUGGCAGAUAAUAGAGUUGGGUUAUUGCCCAACAAUCAUAACUCUUCAAAUUUAAACAUUGCAUCUUUUUCAUGGUUCCUGAAAAGACAUAAUUUAUGGUCAACAACUGUAUUCCUUCUCCUAGCAAAUAUGACCAUUAGGUAAUUGGUGCUAUCCAUUAAGUAUACCCAUUGAAAUGCCUUAUGGAUAAUGCUUUGUAUAUAUUCAAGUAGACCUGACCUAUUUGAACCAAUAUGAUUUCAAAAGUUAUGUACUUUCAAUUAACUUGAACAAGUGCAAUUCUCUCUAUAUAUUGAUAACAUUGGAAGAAGAGAAGAUUCAUUCAGAAAUUUGUUGUCUACAUAAUUUCCUUGCUCUCUUUACUCUCCAUACAUUCAUACAAUUUCUUUCUAGUUAUUUCUAAGAGAAUAUAAUUCAGUUUUGUUAAUCGAAUAUUUCAUACUUUGUUGUAUCCUGGAAGUGAUUUGCCAAGAACGCUUUAGCAAACUCAUUCGAGUGGGAGCAAGUAACACUUUUAAGGAAACGAUUCAAGUCAUACCUCAUAGUCAUCCUUCAAUUUAUUCUCUAUAUUUCUACAUUUACUCCAACAUAUCAUGUGCAUGUCACUGGAAAUAGAUGAUUUUUAAUGGGAUUUCCAUAAUCUAGGUUCAUGUAAAAGAUUUGUAAACUACAAAUCUUUAAGGGAUUUCCAGCAUCUAGGCCCCUGCAUAUCCCCCAACGCCGUUAAUUGCACGAUACACAUCCACAACAAAAUCGAUAUACGUUCCAAAUAUUGCAUCAAGAACCCUAAUUUCUCAUAGUAGAAAUAAAAAUCCCAAAUUAAGAAAUUGAAAGCUUCAUCUUUACCGCGACAUCAGAAAAUGAUCCAUUGUAACAAUAAGACAAGGGCUAAGAAAAAUAAUAGACUAGAGGGAGGGAGGGAGACAAGGGCUAAGAAAAAUAAUAGAAUAGAGGGAGGGAGGGAGGGAGGGAGGGAGGGAGGGAGAGAGAGGGAGAGAGAAAAUGUGAAGGUGAAGAAGAAGGAGAUCAAAGUAGAAUGUUAAUAUGUUGUUUUACCUAUCAAAUAAGCAAGUAAUUGACUGCACUUAUUAUACAAGCAAAGGAAAAAGAAGAGCAGUUAUUAGAGAGAGAGAGAUUCAUCAAUCAAUUCCUUUGACUCUGUCUUAUCAAUUGCAAUCCUCAUACUUGCUUAUAUCUUUCAAGAUCAUAAUCUCAAGAGUAAAUUGUAGCAAUGAUUCUUCAACUUUAAUCAAAUGAGAGUAAUGGUCCAUCAACUAAAAAUUCAUUACCAUGGGUCUCUCUCAACUCAUGAAAAUGUGUAGUUAUGGUCAUUUUCGUCAACUUCGUUAGAAUUUUGUCAAAAUAAGUUAUGUU